rnacentral:rRNA from 1 species
UACGGAGGGUGCAAGCGUUAUCCGGAUUUAUUGGGCGUAAAGCGUCCGCAGGUGGUUUUCCAAGUCUGCUGUUAAAGCGCGAGGCUUAACCUCGUACAGGCAGUGGAAACUGGAUGACUAGAGUAUGGUAGGGGUAGCGGGAAUUCCCAGUGUAGCGGUGAAAUGCGUAGAUAUUGGGAAGAACACCAGCGGCGAAAGCGCGCUACUGGGCCAUUACUGACACUCAUGGACGAAAGCUAGGGGAGCGAAAGGG